rnacentral:misc_RNA from 1 species
AAUUCGCCGCAAGCACACCCCACACACAUAUAAUACGCCAAUCUCAAGCGGCGCACCACUUUGCAGAAGGCCCGGUGCCGACGGUCUUCUUCUCGGCCUCACCUCUAUUUACUACUCGCCGACGCUGGCCGGAGGCCUGCGCGUCCUUCAUAAUCAGGGAAAGCCUGAGGGGCUUCGCCGCGCGGCGUGCGUGCACACCACACUGCUGUGGCUGCUCUUACAAGAAGAGAGAGAGGGUCCUUGUGUGAAUCAGCGCACCCGGCGCACGGCCUCAUGUCAUCUAACGCCUCAACGGAGACUCCGGCGUCGUUACGGGCAGAGGAGGUUACCAUGACGUCGCCGGAUCGGCUGACGAACCUUGGCACCUCCACCUUCCUCACCCCGCCCUCCGUCGAGCACCCUAGCGCGGCGAGCGAGCUGGGGUCCAGCCAUGCGCCACUACCGCCACGUGUGCAGAACCUCGCUAACGUCGUGGUGCCGCUCGCCUCCGCGGAGGCUCGCGUGAGCAAUGCGCAUUCCUACGCGCGGCGGCCACUCGAGAUUGUGGAGUCGAUCAGGGGUUUGCACGAACUGCAUCAGAAGGGCGGGCUCACCAGGGAGGAGUUCGCUCAAGCGAAGCAGCAGAUCCUGGACUCGGCCGCGUCCUCGGCGUCCACGUACAAGAGCAAGUCAAAGCGGUCACGCGGGCGCCGCCACCGUCGCCGUGGUCGCCGUUCGCGCAACAGCUCGCGCUCGGCCUCUACGUCGACUUGCACGCGGCCGUCCCGCGAUGCCCGCUCGCGCGCCACCACUGGUGUUGACCCCAGGAGUGCCAGCCACCGCCCCAGCCGUUCCUCGUCAUCGUCGAAGUCAUCGUCGUCGUCGUCGUCGUCGUCGAGCAAUCGCUUCAUCAUUGUGCCGCGCUCCAACGUGUGGCGCACCCUCAACGACCCGAUCGAGGAGGGCUUGCUCGGCCACCACUUGACAGAGGGCCACCAUUUGCGCGUCGCAUACAACGAUGCACCGCGGCUCGUGCGCUCCCCGCUGCUGAGCAGGGGGGGCGCUGUCGUAGGAUUUGGCAGCCGUGAGAGAGGGGGGCAAGAGGAGUGCUGCGCCGGCGCGCACGGGCGGCACGGCUACCAGGAGAUUCCUUCUGAAGACCCUCUCACAAGCAACUUGGCGAGUAGCGCAGCGGUGCCGACGCCAACGCUAGCCACUGCAGCAGACACCAAAGACGGCCCCUUCGCGUCCCCCAGCGGCAGCGCUAUCGGCGCCGCGACCGCAGCGACGGGCAGCAGCGUCGCCCGCUACGCCACCUCCGCCACCGUUCCCGACGGCCGCGGCAAGGCCAAGUAUGGUGCCUUCUUGCACCGGGACGAUGGAGCUCGCGCCGGCGGUCCGGCACCGCACAUUCAUGCGGUACUCAACAAGGAGGAUGUUGUGUGUAUCCAAUACUUCAACAGCCGCGGCGGCUCUGGCAAUCACUUCCGCGACGUCGAGCUGCACACCUCCCAACUCCGUGACCCGAUCUUCGUUCACAAGGGACAGUCGCAGGUCAUUCCAGCCAAGCCGCGUACCUCAGUGACCAAGCCUGGCCACGACGAGCCGGUCAUGAUGGCGAUGCCGACCCGAGACUCGCAGGUCUUCCAGCUGGCGGAGAUGACGCUGGAGGAGCGCCGCGCCUGGGAGGAGAUGACGACGACGCACUCCUCCUCCUCCAAGUCCCGCAGAGCCAAGUCUUCGUACUUUGAGCAGAGCUUCAACUGGUAUUGGGUGGACGUGACGGGCAGAGACGCCAGCCGGCAACAGUACAACGCGACACUACGCUACCUAACCAACCGCUUCAAGUUGUGCGAGUCGUUCCUCGUCGACCGCGAUCACACGCUGGUGCUGCCGCAGGUUUGCGAGUCGCCCAUCUACGCUGGCCAGUACCUGCUCAACCUGCGUGUGGCGACCGAAAAGAUCGCCAUCUCCGACGACAGCGUGAUGGAGCUGACGAAUCGGUGGAUUAUCGUUGUGGACCUGAAGCAGCACAUCGUCAUUACCCUGCACCGCGUCGACACGCACAGCAUGGCGAACCUGCGCUCACAGUGGAAGAGGGUCAUCGAGAACAGCAACGUAUCCUUCCAGGAGUUCCUACUCAAGAUCAUCGACGACGCCAUCUACACGUAUCACCUCAGCCUCGACGUGCACACGGCGCUCCUUGAAAAGUGCGAAGCGAAGCUGUUCGUGGAGAAGCCGGCCGUGACGACGCCGGAGGUGUCCGGCCACUACAUCGAUAAGCGGAUUCUGCACCACUUCGCCGGCAGCUCGCGGUCGCCGUUUCUGCGCCGGCUGCUGGACGAGCAGGACCGCUCGCCGAUGAACAAGGGGGAGAUGAACAGCUUCCUGCACCACCUGCACCGUCGCACGAGCGUGCAGCACCGGAUGAUCAACGUCACCCAGGCAGUUCUGGCCAAGGCGUUCACGAAGCUGCGGCUGUGCUCGCGUGAGAUGGCGGGGCAGAUGUGUGCGUCCUGCAUUGAGAUCAGCGACCGCGCUCUGGAGGUGCGGGAUGACGCCAAGACUCUGCUGAACCUGCACAUCUCCCUGCAGAGCUUCCGCACCACUGAGCUGAUGGCCGUGCUGACGCGCGUGACGAUGCUCUUUACACCGGUGACGUUCCUGGCUGGCGUGUAUGGCAUGAACUUCCAGAAGAACUUUCCGGAGCUGACGUGGGACUACGGCUACGCCUUCUUUUGGACCCUGUGCAUCAUCUUGGUCAUCGCCAUGCAUGUCCUCUUUGUGCGCGAGCACUGAGGCGCCGGCGCGUUUUCUAGGCGUGCGGGAGGGGAGGGGCGGACCCGUUCAACGGAUGAACUGCAGCCCCAGCCACCACCACCCCUCUAACUCUGCUUUUCUUUGGUGUCCUCUGCGGACAGCCAUCGCGCCUCUGUGGAUGUAUGCGCGCGCGCGUGGAUGGGAUUGCACUUGGCUGUCUGCGUGCGUGUGUGCGCCUCUCUAUAUCGAUUUCUUGCCGCUUGGCUCAAUGGUGCGCCGCGUCUAACGGGGUGUCGGUGUAUGCUUUGGUGCUGGUAAAAGGGUGGUGUGGUGACGUGGGGAGGAUCACAGGAAGAAUGACGCCGGAGAUUGCUCAACCCGAGCGCCAUGACCCUCCACGCCCGCAGCUGCUGUUGGUGCUGCCAGUGUGUCCUGGCGCCGUUCUUGUCCCCAUCGAUUUAUCGGUCUCACGGUGCAUUCCGCCUUAAUCACCCUCCCCACCCGUCGACCCUCGCUGCGUCUCUGUGGCGCGCUCCCCCUCCGUCUCGCCCCCUCCCCCUCUCCCGUUUUUUCCUCGUAGGUGUGUGCGGCUGUGCUCCUGGUGAAACGGGGUGGGGUGGGGGCACCCGGCAGCGCGUGGCGCUCCCGGGGGGGGGGUCAUCCGUGCACCCCAACUCUGUCUCUGGGGAGGAAGCCCAGCAGCGCCCCCUCCUCUCCCUCCUAUAUCCCUGCCAGUGCGGGACCGCUUCUCCUGGUGACAGGGUCAAGCACCUACAACGUAGGGAGGUCAGAGUAAGAUGGCGCUGCGGAUGGCGGCCGUCAGGUGCCGGAUGGCGUUGCACCGGAGCAACCUGCGACAGCGCACACACACGAUUCAUGUGAUGGGCAGAGAGUGUCGGCGUGACUCGAACGCAUCCCACCCCCGGCUCUCACACCGUCCUGCUACUGUUGGGGAGCCUGUGCCAUCGCGAUGGGAUCGCACCGUGUGGCGACCGGCACAACGUGAGCGGCUGCGGGGCGACCUGUGAGGGCGGGUGGGUGGCGGCUAGAGUUUGAGGCGGAGGCCGAGCCCUCAGAUGACCGAGUUGGUGCACUGCUGUCACGUGUGUCUCUGCAGCUGCUUCGCACCAGGCGAUAGGGGCCUGUGACAGGGCCCGGUGCAAGAGUGGGGUUCGACCUCAUGUUGCAUGGCAGAGAAAUAGACAUGCUGCAGCGCAGAGCGCAAGCGUGUCUCGGCCGCUAACCUCUGGUGGCCCCCCUUCUCUCUCAUCGUUGUUGAGUUUGUGUGUGUGUGUGUGUGUGUGUGUGUGCAUCCAGCCAACCGCAUCCGACUGCAUCGCUUAAAGUGUCGGCAAUGAAAGUCGCCCAAACCGUCACGCACGCGCCGUUCGCCUCUGCGGGUCCCCAUGCC